rnacentral:lncRNA from 1 species
CUGCCUUACAAGCCCGGUCUUCAAAGCAUUCCUGUCUUUACUGUCGAAUGCACCAAAUGUCUCCCACAGCUGUUUAGUUGGGCUGGAUGAAUUACACAAGGUUCCUUGGACACCAGACAGGCGAAGCGGGGUUAGAGCACCAUGUGAUCUCAGCUACAGUUCCCAGCCCAGAGUCCUGAUGUUGUGCACAGACGUGGUAACUUGGCUCCUUUCCUGCUUGAAAACAUUUGUUUGGAUGUUCUGAGACUUUCUCAACACUGUGGCCCCCCGCCAUAGGGUGUUACAUGGCUUUAGAUAAGAAAUCUCCAUAAAACUGUAAGCAAUGUGUCUUCUGCAGUAAAUCUUUCUUCUUAGUC